AGCAGCCGCGGUAAUUCCAGCUCCAAUAGCGUAUAUUAAAGUUGUUGCAGUUAAAAAGCUCGUAGUUGAAUUUCGGGAUUAAUUUACUGGUCGUGCUAUCGUACGUACUGGUUUUAUUGAUUCCUCCCUUCUGACGAACUAUGAUGCCAUUAAUUUGGUGUCAUAGGAAAUCAGGACUGUUACUUUGAAAAAAUUAGAGUGUUUAAAGCAGGCUCACGCUUGAAUACAUUAGCAUGGAAUAACGGAAUAGGACGUUUGAUUCUAUUUUGUUGGUUUCUAGGAUCGACGUAAUGAUUAAUAGGGAUAGUUGGGGGCAUUAGUAUUCAAUUGUCAGAGGUGAAAUUCUUGGAUUUAUUGAAGACUAACUACUGCGAAAGCAUUUGCCAAGGAUGUUUUCAUUAAUCAAGAACGAAAGUUGGGGGCUCGAAGACGAUCAGAUACCGUCCUAGUCUCAACCAUAAACGAUGCCGACCAGGGAUCAGCGGAUGUUGCUUUUAGGACUCCGCUGGCACCUUAUGGG
rnacentral:sRNA from 1 species